GACGAGGGAUCCUAGCGUUGCUCGGAAUCAUUGGGCGUAAAGCGGGUGUAGGUGGCUUGACAAGUCAGGUGUGAAAGCCCAGGGCUCAACCCUGGAAGUGCAUUUGAAACUGUCGAGCUUGAGUGCUAGAGAGGUUAUUAGAAUACCUGGUGUAGUGGUGAAAUACGUAGAUAUCAGGUGGAACACCGGAGGCGAAGGCGGAUAACUGGACUAGACACUGACACUGAGACCCGGAA
rnacentral:rRNA from 1 species